GGAUCAGUUCGCUGGUCGUGCCUCUGGUAUGUACUGGUGUUACUGGUUCCUCCCUUCUGACGAACUGUCAUGUCAUUUAUUUGGUGUGGCAGGGAAUCAGGACUGUUACUUUGAAAAAAUUAGAGUGUUUAAAGCAGGCUCGCGCUUGAAUACAUUAGCAUGGAAUAAUAAAAUAGGACGGCAUGGUUCUAUUUUGUUGGUUUCUAGGAUCACCGUA
rnacentral:rRNA from 1 species